rnacentral:rRNA from 1 species
AUACGUAGGGGGCGAGCGUUGUCCGGAAUGAUUGGGCGUAAAGGGCGCGUAGGCGGCCCGGUAAGUCUGGAGUGAAAGUCCUGUUUUUAAGAUGGGAAUUGCUUUGGAUACUGUCGGGCUUGAGUGCAGGAGAGGUAAGUGGAAUUCCCAGUGUAGCGGUGAAAUGCGUAGAGAUUGGGAGGAACACCAGUGGCGAAGGCGACUUACUGGACAGUAACUGACGCUGAGGCGCGAAAGCGUGGGGAGCAAACAGGAUUAGAUCCCCUGGUAGUCCACGCCGUAAACGAUGAAUACUAGGUGUAGGGGGUAUCGACUCCCUCUGUGCCGCAGUUAACACAAUAAGUAUUCCGCCUGGGGAGUACGGCCGCAAGGUUGGAACUCAAAUGAAUUGACGGGG